rnacentral:rRNA from 1 species
GAUGAACGCUGGCGGCGUGCCUAAUACAUGCAAGUCGAGCGAACAGACGAGGAGUUUGCCUCUCUGACGUUAGCGGCGGGCGGGUGAGUAACACGUGUAUAACCUAUCGUUAAGACUGGGAUCACUUCGGGAAACCGGAGCUAAUACCAGAUCAUAUGUUGAACCGCAUGGUUCAUUAGAGAAAGACGGCUUUGCUGCUACUAGUAGAUGGUUCCUGGUCGGAUUAGCUAGUUGGUAAGGUAACGGCUUACCAAGGCAACGAUGAGUAGCCGACCUGAGAGGGUGAUCGGCCACACUGGAACUGUGACACGGUCCAGACUCCUACGGGAGGCAGCAGUGGGGAAUCUUCGGCAAUGGGCGAAAGCCUGACGGAGCAACGCCGCGUGGGUGAUGAAGGUCUUCGGAUCGUAAAACUCUGUGAUUAGGGAGGAAGAGCGGUGUAAGGAAAAAUGCACGUCUUGACGGUACCUAAUCAGAAAGCCACGGCUAACUACGUG